GGGGAUAUAGCUCAGUGGGAGAGCGCUUGUCUGGCAGACAAGAGGUCGAGGGUUCAAGUCCCUCUAUCUCCACCA
rnacentral:tRNA from 1 species